AUAGAAGAUGCGAAGCUUGCAAGGGAUUUUCAAACCACAUUGCAAGAAUUCCAGAAAGUGCAAAAGCUUGCUUCCGAGCGCGAAUCCACUUACUCUCCUUCUCUUCCUGCAUCGUCCUUGACUGCCGCGUCUGGCUCCGGUGAAUAUGUAGCCCCUAGUAUGGAUCAGGAUACCCAACCUUUUCUUAUGGAACAGAAAAGACAAGAGGUAUUGCUUCUGGAUAAUGAAAUUGCUUUCAAUGAGGCCAUAAUUGAUGAAAGGGA
rnacentral:misc_RNA from 1 species